AACGAACGCUGGCGGCAUGCCUAACACAUGCAAGUCGAACGAGACCUUCGGGUCUAGUGGCGCACGGGUGCGUAACGCGUGGGAACCUGCCCUUAGGUUCGGCAUAACUCCCCGAAAGGGGUGCUAAUACCGGAUAAUGUCUUCGGACCAAAGAUUUAUCGCCUUUGGAUGGGCCCGCGUUGGAUUAGCUAGUUGGUAGGGUAAAAGCCUACCAAGGCGACGAUCCAUAGCUGGUCUGAGAGGAUGAUCAGCCACACUGGGACUGAGACACGGCCCAGACUCCUACGGGAAGCAGCAGUGGGGAAUAUUGGACAAUGGGCGAAAGCCUGAUCCAGCAAGGCCGCGUGAGUGAUGAAGGCCUUAGGGUUGUAAAGCUCUUUUACCCGGGAUGAUAAUGACAGUACCGGGAGAAUAAGCUCCGGCUAACUCCGUG
rnacentral:rRNA from 1 species